rnacentral:tRNA from 1 species
AUUGAUAAAAUUUCUCUUUGCCAAGGAGAAGAUGCGGGUUCGAUUCCCGCUAUCCGUU